rnacentral:lncRNA from 1 species
AGGUGAGGAGACUGAGGCCAGAAGGGACAGACUCACCUUGACAAUAACCCCCUGCCCAAGCCCACGCCCCCCACUCCUCCAUACGGACAGAGAGGGGCUCCCAGGAGGAGAAAGAAGUGAGCCGGCUCAGCUUCUGGGGAACAGUCUCAGUUCCCCAGCUCUGCUGCCCUUUGGCCCCGAGAGCCCCCACUGGCAGCACGCUCAGGACAGCCUUUGGGGAGCCCUUCGACUGAGCCCCACUCUUUCCUUGUCUUUGGAGGUGCUGCCUUCACUUGGGGAGUGAAGAGGAAAGAACAGGGCAGAUGCCUGAGGUUUGGGGAGAGGAUAAAGAGGACUCAGCAUUUCCCUUUGCCACCACCAAAGCUGUCCCCCUGUUCCCACACCUGUCCCUCCCCUGCAACCUGGAGGAAGGCAGGGAAGCCCCCAGAGGCUGGGCUUUAAGACGGAGGGAACAAUUCUGCUUAAAGAAGGAAGAGAAGAUGUGACCAAGUGUGCAGCCAAAAACGCACCGUGCCCUUUAAGGCCGCACGCGGAGGCUAUAUUUAGGGCUGAGGACAUUCAGCAGGACCUCGGGCAGCCUUCACUGGGAGCCAUCGCUAAUCACUGCAUUGAGUUUACAGGUGCCCCUGGGCACACUUAACCCAGGGCAAUGAAUAGUUAUUGUGCGGCCUCCCGCUCAGGGCCUGUGGGCACACUUAAGCGAGCUCGCGGAUCGCUGCAAGCGGGCAGGGCUCGGGUACACCCUUGGGCACCCUGUGCCUUCAGCAGGGAGAGGCAAGAGUAUUAAAUAUCUAUGUGCCCUGUGCCCACAGCUGCAUUUAGCCAAGGGCAAGGCCGGUGAAACGGCUUUAAUUAAAACUUAAUGCAAGUUCAAGGUGCAGACACGGAAGCAGCGGCUGCAGAAGUCACCAGGAAUGAAUCAGUCAAUUCGAUGAGGUUCUCAGGAUGUGGGGCCACCGCAGGCUCCCACACUUCGUUUGGUGAAGAAUGCUGGACUUCCAGGCUUCAAAGGCAGGUCAUCGGAGACAAAGCAGGAGCCUGGGCUGGAGCAGGUCCUGCUUUUCUAAGCAACUCGCCCCAGUGUCAGUGAAACGAAAGCUGCCGGGAAGAUCACAAGAAGCACGGGGCCCCAGAGUUGGACGGUCAGGGUUCAGAUCCCAGAUGGAGAUUUGCGACCUGGGGCAAGUCAUCUAACCUCUCCAAGACUCCAUUUUCUCUUCUGCAAAAUGGGCACAUGUGCCCAUAGAAAGGUUUGGCCCUUUGCCACCAGCUCCUGGGAGGUAAAUUCUAAGUGUGUGGACUGUUCUGCCUGAGAAGUGUCUUUGUCUACCUGGGGGCCUUGAGCCACACAGCACAGUCUAUGCUCAGGAUGUGAUUUAUGGUGGGGGGGCCUUGGACACUAUCAGCUCAACCUCUGGAGAGGCUGGAGACCAAGGCUAGCCACGCAGGUGGUCAGCCAUGCCUGUGUGACCGAGCCCAAGUAAAAAUCUGGAUGCCAAGGCUCAGGUGAGCUUCCCUGGUUGGCAGUCCUCUGUAUGUCAUCACACAUCGUUGCUGGGAGGGGUCAGCACUGUCCGCACAACUCCGCUGGGAAAGGACGACCGGAAGCUUGCCCCUGGACCUCUUCUGGAUGCUGCCUGCGCACCUCUUCCCCUGGCUGAUCUUAAUCCACAUCCUUUCACUGUAAUGAACCAUAACCAUGAGUAUAAUGGCUUUUCUAGGUUCUAUGAGUCCUCCUGGUGAAUUAUUGCACCUAAGGGGGGCCUUGGGGAGCCCUGACCUUGAAGUUGGUGUCAGAAGUGAGAGUGGUCGUGGGACUCCUGAGCCUCACAGCACAGUGACAGCACCUCCCGCACUGGGGAUCAAGAAGGUGAAAUGAGGCAAGGCACGUAAACCCCUCAGCACAGGGCCUGGCCUGGAACAAGUGUUCAGCAGUAUGUGCUCUCCUCUGGGGUCUGCUGUUUGGGGUGGUGGCUAACUGCAGGGACUCAAGCCCGCCUGCCUGGGCUGACAUCCGGCUCCACCACUCGUGGCUGCUGGACCUUAGACUGGCCAUCCCCUCCCUUGGAGCCUGGUUUUCUCAUCUGCAA